CGCGACGGCCGGGACUCAAUGUGCGUCAGGUUGAUGCCUUUCUCCUGAAAAACGGCACCGGGAUAAGAAGAUUGAGCGGUUCUUCAUUAAAAGCCACAAAGAGCCCCAACUAUGCAGAAACGGACCAUAAAUGAUGCCAUAUGAAACACGCCGCAUGGGAAACACGAAAGAUCGCAAACACGGUGGCUCACAUGAGCGGCGAGCGCUUGAGAAUUUUCAGACUCGGUUCUUUUAAAUUGAUUUUCAUCCCCUUAAUUUGGGGAUGAAACGGUGACACAGUCGUACGCGUGGAUUUUGAGCCGCCUUUAGAUAUUUUUGAGAUGGAGUUGAAGGCCUCAUCAAACCAUUCGUGCGGACGAAGUCGUGGGGCACUUGGGCUGUUUUGUGGAGGAGGUGAGAGGAGGCUCAGGGGGAGGAUUGGGAGAGCCUGAGCUCAUAGGUCCAAAGAGGAUCUUGUGUUUCCAUUUAACAACUACCGCCCCUCCACCCUACGUAUAUAAACCCCCUCCCCCAAAAAAACAAAAUGCAAUAAACACAACGGGGGGGGGCGGGCAUAUUUAACAAUUUUAACUGUUGACUCCUUAAUGUUGUUUUAGCCUUUUAUUUUUUGGUAAGUACGAGGCC